CAACACGAGUUCAAUUCAACAAGCUGUUGAAGGAGAAAUGACAGAGGAUCUUUUUAUCAGGUUGUAAUCUCACAUAUUCAUCUACGUUUACUAAUUGAAAUUAAUUUUCGGAUUCACUUUAAAAUCUGCUUUUGGACAAGGGAAGUUGUUUCGUUUCUUCAUCAGAGGAGCAGCUGUGCUCCAUGCUGGAGUUGGUCAGUGAUCUCCUGCAGGGACCAUCAGCUGUGACGACGAUGCUCAAGUAGGAAGCUGACACUCUGUAGGAGAGUGUUGUGGGGUGUAAACAGAGAGGGCUGUUCGGCUUUGUCUGCAGAAGUGUCUCUCAUCCAGCAGUAAAGAGGGGUGGACACGAGCGCUGAAGAAGCAGCGAAGAAGAGGUUUCACCAGCAGAGAAGAGGUUUCACCAGCGAAGAAGAGGUUUCACCAGCGAAGAAGAGGUUUCACCAGCGCAAAGGUGUAGAGGAACAGGCAUAGAGACUGUCCUGCACCAGUGGAACGUUCCUUCUGUGCGUGGAGUUUGAUAUACACUCGUGUGAUAGUUUUGGCAGAAAUUUCACGCCUAAUGUGCACACCCAGCAUGUUCAGGACGACCGGCUGAGCACAACAGAAAGUUUCUGUGUGCCACAUCAGACUUGGGUCCAGGUCAUAACAUGAUGAGCAUCGUGACAAAGGCAAAUGUCAAA